rnacentral:rRNA from 1 species
GUGGGGAAUAUUGGACAAUGGGGGGAACCCUGAUCCAGCCAUGCCGCGUGUGUGAAGAAGGCCUUUUGGUUGUAAAGCACUUUAAGCGAGGAGGAGGCUACCGAGAUUAAUACUCUUGGAUAGUGGACGUUACUCGCAGAAUAAGCACCGGCUAACUCUGUGCCAGCAGCCGCGGUAAUACAGAGGGUGCGAGCGUUAAUCGGAUUUACUGGGCGUAAAGCGUGCGUAGGCGGCUUUUUAAGUCGGAUGUGAAAUCCCCGAGCUUAACUUGGGAAUUGCAUUCGAUACUGGGAAGCUAGAGUAUGGGAGAGGAUGGUAGAAUUCCAGGUGUAGCGGUGAAAUGCGUAGAGAUCUGGAGGAAUACCGAUGGCGAAGGCAGCCAUCUGGCCUAAUAUUGACGCUGAGGUACGAAAGCAUGGGGAGCAAACAGGAUUAGAAACCCUAGUAGCC